rnacentral:rRNA from 1 species
GACAGAGGGGGCAAGCGUUGCUCGGAAUCACUGGGCGUAAAGGGCGCGUAGGCGGGACGGUAAGUCGGUCGUGAAAUCCUUCGGCUCAACUGAAGGGGGUCGGUCGAUACUAUCGUUCUUGAGGGAUGCAGAGGAGACUGGAAUUCCCGGUGUAGCGGUGAAAUGUGUAGAGAUCGGGAGGAACACCGGUGGCGAAGGCGGGUCUCUGGGCAUCUCCUGACGCUGAGGCGCGAAAGCGUGGGGAGCAAACGGGAUUAGAUACCCCGGUAGUCCACGCGGUAAACGAUGACGACUAGGUGUGGGGGGGUUUAGGCCUUUCCGUGCCGCAGCUAACGCAUUAAGUCGUCCGCCUGGGGAGUACGGCCGCAAGGUUGAAACUCAAAGGAAUUGACGGGGGCCCGCACAAGCGGUGGAGCAUGUGGUUCAAUUCGAUGCAGAGCGAAGAACCUUACCUGGGCUUGACAUGUAGGAAGUAGAAACCGGAAACGGCGACGACCUGUUAAGUCAGGAGCCUACACAGGUGGCGCAUGGCUGUCGUCAGCUCGUGCCGUGAGGUGUUGGGUUAAGUCCCGCAACGAGCGCAACCCUCACCCGAUGUUGCCAACGGUUCGGCCGGGCACUCUUCGGGAACUGCCAGCGAAGAGCUGGAGGAAGGGGGGGAUGACGUCAAGUCCGUAUGCCCCUUAUGUCCAGGGCUACACACAUGCUACAAUGGUCGGUACAGAGGGUCGCGAACCCGCGAGGGGGAGCCAAUCCCACAACGCCGAUCUCAGUUCGGAUUGUAGGCUGCAACUCGCCUACAUGAAGGCGGAAUCGCUAGUAAGCGCAGAUCAGCAGGCUGCGCUGAAUACGUUCCCGGGCCU